CGCCGGAUGCCCGCAUCCCCGUUCGAUGAUCCUGUACCCAGACCUGCCCUGUGAUCCCGACGUGUGCGCCAAGAGCUGCGCCAAGGGAUUGAACAACGGCAACGGCACCUGCAUGAGGCCGCUUGGAUGUGAUUGCGAGUACUGCGUGCCAGCUGCAACCGUCGCAAAACGCCCGGCUGCUGUCUCUACGCGUAUGCUGUGCACUACUACCAUUUCGAUUUAAUUUCACGCAUCGAAGUAAUGAUCCAUCCACACUCUUGCUACUUUGUUUGUGUCGGAAAUCCUACAGGUUUGACGACGACGACGACGACAAUGGCGUCGGCCGGAUGCCCGCACCCCCGUUCGACGAUCCUGUACCCAGACCUGCCAUGCGAUCCCGACGUGUGUGCCAAGAGUUGCGCCAAGGGAUUGAACAACGGCAACGGCACCUGCAUGAGGCCGAUUGGAUGUGAUUGCGUGUUCUGCGUGCCAGAAACCGUCGCAAAACGCCCGGCUGUCUCUACGCGUAUGCUGUGCACUACUACCAUUUCGAUUUAAUUUCACGCAUUGAAGUAAUGAUCCAUCCACACUCUUGCUACUUUGUUUGUGUCGGAAAAUCCUACAGGUUUGACGACGACGACGACGACAAUGGCGUCGGCCGGAUGCCCGCACCCCCGUUCGACGAUCCUGUACCCAGACCUGCCAUGCGAUCCCGACGUGUGUGCCAAGAGUUGCGCCAAGGGAUUGAACAACGGCAACGGCACCUGCGUGAGGCCGAUUGGAUGUGAUUGCGUGUUCUGCGUGCCAGAAACCGUCGCAAAACGCCCGGCUGUCUCUACGCGUAUGCUGUGCACUACUACCAUUUCGAUUUAAUUUCACGCAUUGAAGUAAUGAUUCAUCCACACUCUUGCUACUUUGUUUGUGUCGGAAAUCCCACAGGUUUGACGACGACGACGACGACAAUGGCGUCGGCCGGAUGCCCGCACCCCCGUUCGACGAUCCUGUACCCAGACCUGCCCUGCGAUCCCGACGUGUGUGCCAAGAGUUGCGCCAAGGGAUUGAACAACGGCAACGGCACCUGCGUGAGGCCGAUUGGAUGUGAUUGCGUGUUCUGCGUGCCAACAGCCGGCCAAGCUGCACGUACAACGUAGCUACCCCGAUUUGGACCCGGCGUUCGCGAGUUUUUUUUUACAAGAGCAAUGGCGGAGAUGUAGUUAAUAAUCAUGUACUAGCAGCACUAUAGUUUCGAGCAGAGAAGACUGUGGAAUCUUUGCGUCAGAAGAUAUAUAGCCGUGAGAUUGAAAGCUGAGUUCUUUUAUAUUUUGAACGUAAUGGCAAGAACUCUAACUUUUGAUGAAGAAUAAGAAAUAGAAUUGACUCGGUUUUAAAGAAAAACUGGGUCCAAAAU
rnacentral:lncRNA from 1 species